rnacentral:rRNA from 1 species
UACGUAGGGUGCGAGCGUUGUCCGGAAUUAUUGGGCGUAAAGAGCUCGUAGGCGGUUUGUUGCGUCGACUGUGAAAACCCGAGGCUUAACCUCGGGCCUGCAGUCGAUACGGGCAGACUAGAGUUCGGUAGGGGAGACUGGAAUUCCUGGUGUAGCGGUGAAAUGCGCAGAUAUCAGGAGGAACACCGGUGGCGAAGGCGGGUCUCUGGGCCGAUACUGACGCUGAGGAGCGAAAGCGUGGGGAGCGAACAGG